AUGGGCAUGGAGAUGAUCACGAAUGUGUCCGAGUACGAGAGGCUCGCCAAGGAGAAGCUGCCGAAGAUGGUGUACGACUACUACGCCUCCGGCGCAGAGGAUCAGUGGACGCUCAACGAGAACAGGGAGGCCUUCUCCAGGAUACUGUUCCGACCACGCGUACUGAUUGAUGUGACCCAUAUCAACAUGGCGACAAACAUCUUGGGCUUCGACGUCUCCAUGCCGAUCAUGAUCGCUCCCACAGCCAUGCAGAAAAUGGCUCAUCCUGAAGGAGAGCUUGCUACUGCAAGAGCAGCGGCAUCUGCAGGGACCAUAAUGACAUUGUCUUCAUGGGCUACUUCUAGUGUGGAAAGGGUUAACUCAGUAGGGCCCGGGAUACGUUUCUUCCAGCUUUAUGUUUACAAGGACAGGAAUAUAGUUCGGCAACUCGUGAAAAGGGCUGAAAUGGCCGGGUUCAAGGCGAUCGCUCUCACCGUCGACACUCCAAGGCUCGGCCGCAGGGAAGCCGAUAUCAAGAACAGGUUCAUCUUGCCUCCACACCUGGUGCUGGAGAACUUUGCGGCGCUGGACCUCGGCAAGAUGGACAAGACAGAUGAUUCCGGGCUGGCUUCCUACGUUGCUAGCCAGGUCGACCAAUCUCUUUGUUGGGAGGACGUCAAGUGGUUGCAGACAAUUACCUCGUUGCCGAUCUUGGUGAAAGGGGUCAUGACUGCAGAAGACACUAGGAUUGCCAUCGAGUACGGCGCGGCCGGCAUCAUCGUGUCCAACCAUGGCGCUCGGCAGCUGGACUACGUCCCUGCAACCAUCAGCUGCCUGGAAGAGGUUGUCAGAGAGGCGAAGGGGCAGCUGCCGGUGUUCCUCGACGGCGGCGUCCGGCGCGGCACCGACGUGUUCAAGGCGCUGGCGCUAGGAGCCGCGGGAGUGUUCAUCGGGAGGCCGGUGCUGUACUCGCUGGCGGUGGACGGCGAGGCGGGGGUACGGAAGGUGCUGCAGAUGCUGCGGGACGAGCUGGAGCUGGCCAUGGCGCUCAGCGGGUGCCCGUCGCUCCGGGACAUCACCCGCGCCCACGUCGUCACCGACGGCGACAGGAUCCGCCGCGCACGCCUCUAG
rnacentral:rRNA from 1 species